rnacentral:rRNA from 1 species
CCUACGGGUGGCAGCAGUGGGGAAUAUUGCACAAUGGGGGAAACCCUGAUGCAGCGACGCCGCGUGAAUGAUGAAGUUUUUCGGAUUGUAAACUCCUUUUGGUAGAGAAGAUAAUGGCGGUAACUUACGUAUAAACACCGGCUAACUUCGGGCCAGCAGCCGCGGUAAUACGGUGGGUGCAAGCGUUACUCGGAAUCACUGGGCGUAAAGGGCGCGUAGACGGGAUUGCAAGUCAGAUGUGAAAGCCUAUGGCUUAACCAUAGGACUGCAUUUGAAACUGUUAGUCUAGAGUAGGGGAGAGGUAAGUGGAAUUCUUGGGGUAGGGGUAAAAUGCGUAGAGAUUAGGAGGAACACCAGUGGCGAAGGCGGCCUACUGGACAGUAACUGACGCUGAGGCGCGAAAGCGUGGGGAGCAAACAGGAUUAGAUACCCGUGUAGUC